ensembl:lncRNA
CAGGGCUUUCAGGGGCCAGAAAUAGAGAAGAUUGGCCUUUCCAUUUUCUGUCUUCUAUGAUUACAGAUGCAAUGCCCCUUACUGGAUUUUAUGCAUAUAAAUGUGUUUAUAUCUCAAUGAAUAACAAAGCAUCUUUACAAGGAUCCCACUCAAAAUUCAAUCAUGCUAUGAAAAUGUUUUAUCACUCACCUACAUCCUGGAGAAAAGAAUAUCAAGAUUGUGAGCUUCUGAGACGUUGUUUGAAAGAUGUACGUGUCCUGUGUGCAGCCUUCCUCAGGAAGUAAACUACUGGACUAAAACAAUAAACUAAUCACAG